rnacentral:rRNA from 1 species
UAGGGAAUCUUCCACAAUGGACGCAAGUCUGAUGGAGCAACGGCCGCGUGAGUGAAGAAGGUUUUCGGACCGUAAAGCUCUGUUGUUGGUGAAGAAGGAUAGAGGUAGUAACUGGCCUUUAUUUGACGGUAAUCAACCAGAAAGUCACGGCUAACUACGUGCCAGCAGCCGCGGUAAUACGUAGGUGGCAAGCGUUGUCCGGAUUUAUUGGGCGUAAAGCGAGCGCAGGCGGAAGAAUAAGUCUGAUGUGAAAGCCCUCGGCUUAACCGAGGAAUUGCAUCGGAAACUGUUUUUCUUGAGUGCAGAAGAGGAGAGUAGAACUCCAUGUGUAGCGGUGGAAUGCGUAGAUAUAUGGAAGAAUACCAGUGGCGAAGGCGGCUCUCUGGUCUGCAACUGACGCUGAGGCUCGAAAGCAUGGGUAGCGAACAGGAUUAGAUACCCUGGUAGUCCAUGCCGUAAACGAUGAGUGCUAAGUGUUG